GGCUGUCAACACGACAAGUUGCCUAUGUGAUAGUUACAAAUCAAACAGCAAAAUUAUUAGAAGAAAUAUCAUUUUAAACAAAUUUUAUGUUACUAGUAGGUACAAGUGAAUGUAAAAUCAAGUUUCUAAUGAUUCAAAAUUUUUUUAUGGUUAUAUUAUUUUCUCCUUGCAUGUUUCUAAUGAUUUUUUUUAGGGCAACAAUAUUUUCAGGCUUAUUUUUCACGUGUGAAUUACUUGUAUAUGUCCUCACAAAUCUAACAACUUCUGUUGUCCCCCACAUACUUCUCCUUAGGUGAAGCCCACUCCUAACUGUCAC
rnacentral:misc_RNA from 1 species